GGAAAGGAAAGGGAAAAAGAAGCUAGAUAAAACGCAGCAUGAAGGAUGCUUCUGAGCCGUGAUCACCAUCCACAGUCACUUAUUCCUAGGGUGACCAGAAAGUUGGCCUUCCAAACUGGAAUACAUCUGAAAGUAGAGCACACAUAGAUGGGAGAAGAAGCAAGAUUGAAAGCGGAAUGGAUUAGCCAACUGAUGAAGGGAGGUAAAAGCGCCCCAGAGGCAGCUCUCUUCUCUGAAGCCUCACUGGAAUUGCUCAGGUUUGGCCUCGGAGGAAGUCCACAUAAGUGAACUAGGUCUACCCUCUUCCCCUCCUUGGUUAUGAUGCUGGAGGAGGCACAAAGUAAUCUGUAAGUACAUGCAAGAGAGAAAAAAUGAAUAACCAUUCAGCAACUAGGAUCUGCAGCACUGCCUGCCACAGAGCAUCUUAGGUGACUGUAUCCUUUGCCAUGCUUUGGAUGCUAAGAGCAGAAAGUUUUACCAACAGCUUAAAUGAGUCUGAGGUGAUGAAAAGAAUAAUGAGGCUGCAUGUCCAGAGGCCAUGUGUGUGGUGCCUCACAAUUGCAACACAGACGCCUCAGCCCAGGCAUUCCAGUCAAGAGGGAGGGCACAGGUCAUGCCAGCAUGUCCUUGUCUCCCACCUGGACUUUUUGGGAGAAAGCAGAUUUCUGAGAAACAGCUCUCACCUAUUUCUUGGUCUCAUUGGUGAGAACUCAGAUGCAUGGCCUUGCUGGCUGCAAGGUAGGCCAGGAAAACAAAUAUCUGUUUCCUGUUUGUUUUCCUCAGUUUCUCUGUGGAACCAUAAAGAGCUUUUGAUUUAUGUGGCUUAUAUCUCUCAGUAUUUACCAUGUGCGGUGUGCUUAAUCACUUCAGUCAUGUCUAACUCUUUGUGACCCCACAGACUGUAA